UACGUAGGGUCCGAGCGUUGUCCGGAGUUACUGGGCGUAAAGCGCGCGCAGGCGGCGGUGUUGGCCCGGCGUGAAAGCCCCCGGCUCAACCGGGGAGAGUCGUCGGGGACCGCACCGCUUGAGGGCGGUAGGGGCUGGUGGAAUGCCUGGUGUAGUGGUGAAAUGCGUAGAGAUCAGGAAGAACACCGGUGGCGAAGGCGCUCUGCUAGGCCGUAACUGACACUGAGGGACGAAAGCUAGGGGAGCGAAUGGG
rnacentral:rRNA from 1 species